GACGAACGCUGGCGGCGUGCCUAAUACAUGCAAGUCGAGCGGAUGGAUGGGAGCUUGCUCCCUGAAGUCAGCGGCGGACGGGUGAGUAACACGUGGGCAACCUGCCCCUAAGAUCGGGAUAACUUCGGGAAACCGGAGCUAAUACCGGAUAUGAUUAUGCCUCACAUGAGGGAUAAUGGAAAGACGGUUUCGGCUGUCACUUAGGGAUGGGCCCGCGGCGCAUUAGCUAGUUGGUGAGGUAACGGCUCACCAAGGCGACGAUGCGUAGCCGACCUGAGAGGGUGAUCGGCCACACUGGGACUGAGACACGGCCCAGACUCCUACGGGAGGCAGCAGUAGGGAAUCUUCCGCAAUGGACGAAAGUCUGACGGAGCAACGCCGCGUGAGUGAAGAAGGUUUUCGGGUCGUAAAACUCUGUUGUCAGGGAAGAACAAGUACCAUAGUAACUGAUGGUACCUUGACGGUACCUGACCAGAAAGCCACGGCUAACUACGUGCCAGCCGCCGCGGUAACAC
rnacentral:rRNA from 1 species